CCUACGGGUGGCAGCAGUGAGGAAUAUUGGUCAAUGGGCGGAAGCCUGAACCAGCCAAGUCGCGUGAGGGAUUAAGGCCCUGCGGGUCGUAAACCUCUUUUGCCGGGGAGCAGAGGUCCGGACGUGUCCGGGCCGGGAGAGUACCCGGAGAAAAAGCAUCGGCUAACUCCGUGCCAGCAGCCGCGGUAAUACGGAGGAUGCGAGCGUUAUCCGGAUUUACUGGGUGUAAAGGGGGCGCAGACGGCAAUGCAAGCCAGGAGUGAAAGCCCGGGGCCCAACCCCGGGACUGCUCUUGGAACUGCAUGGCUGGAGUACAGGAGGGGCAGGCGGAAUUCCUAGUGUAGCGGUGAAAUGCGUAGAUAUUAGGAGGAACACCGGUGGCGAAGGCGGCCUGCUGGACUGUGACUGACGUUGAGGCCCGAAGGCGUGGGGAGCAAACAGGAUUAGAUACCCGAGUAGUC
rnacentral:rRNA from 1 species